AGCGAACGUUAGCGGCGGGCUUAACACAUGCAAGUCGAGCGAGAAAGGUAGCAAUACCCUGUAAAGCGGCGGACGGGUGAGGAACACGUAGGUAAUUUUCCGUUCAGCGGGGGACAACGUUUCGAAAGGAACGCUAAUACCGCAUACGUUCACUGGGACUUCGGUCUUGGUGAGGAAAGCUAGGUAGCAAUAUCCGGCACUGAAUGAGAAGCCUGCGUCGCAUCAGCUAGUUGGUGGGGUAAUGGCCUACCAAGGCUAAGACGCGUAGCUGGUCUGAGAGGAUGAUCAGCCACACUGGGACUGAGACACGGCCCAGACUCCUACGGGAGGCAGCAGUGGGGAAUAUUGGACAAUGGGCGAAAGCCUGAUCCAGCCACGCCGCGUGAGGGAUGACGGCCUCGGUUGUAACCGUCUUCUAGCAGGAAGAAGACGAAAGUAGACGGUACCUGCAGAAGAAGACACCGGCUAACUAACGUGCCAGCAGCCGCGGUAAGCUCGUCUCUAC
rnacentral:rRNA from 1 species